AUCACCAAAGCCUACAAAUAAUUAAGUUUAACUUGUAUUAUUAUGUGCAAAGCAGCAGGAAAUGAGAAGCCAAGAAACAUCGGAGCUACGCGAAAACUCAACGUGAAGAUUGCGAAUGCGGUAAAUGUUUCUCCGGCGAGGGAGACAUUUGGCGGGCUCUACGCUCUCUCGAACCUCGACCAGACCUUCCCUUACGUGAUCGAGAUCGUGUUCGCCUUCGAAGGCGAAGGGAGGGGAAGGCGUAAAUCCGCGGUGGAGACGAUGAGAGAGUCGCUGGCCGAGGUAUUGGUCAAGUUCUAUCCAUUUGCAGGCAGACUCGUCGUGGGGAACGACGGGAGAAUGGCCGUGAAAUGCACUGGAGAAGGCGUCCCGUUCGUCGAAGCGGUGUCGGCCUCUGACAUCGGAGUGCUGGACGAUAUCAGCGCCGUCGAUCCCACCACGCUGCGAAAACUCGUGAAGCACAGCGACGGAGCCCCAACCAUACUGGAAGUACCUUUGCUGACGGUGCAGGUGACGACAUUCAAGUGCGGAGGGAUCGUCGUCGGCGUUGUCAUGAAUCACGUCCUCGUCGACGGUAAAGCCCUCACGGACUUCAUAACUUGCUGGACUGACCUGGCUCGAGCCAAGCCGCCAUCGGUUCUUCCCUUUCUCGAUCGAUCGGUGUUGUGCCCGAGGCGACCGCCACGUGUCGAUCUUCCUCACCACGAGUAUGCUCCGAGAGAUCAGCGGUCCAAACGUGCAGUCAGCCCCCAAACCAAGCCCCUUGUUUACAGAUCAUUCUGCUUCAAUCCACACACUCUCAUUCAGCUCAAGAAAUCGUCAACAAUCGCAACCCAGAACGGCUCUUCCACAGUCCCUACGACCUUCGAAGUCAUAUCGGCGCUCGCGUGGAUUUCGCGAACCAAAGCUCUCGGAAUCAGUCCUCACGAGACGACCAAGCUUCUCACUGCGGUCGACGGUCGGCCCAAGUUCGACCCCCCGCUGCCGAGCGGCUACUUCGGGAACGGCAUUGCCUGGUCCUGUGCCGAGUGCAGCGCGGGUGAAUUGACCCGCAAGCCGUUCUCAUUCGCUGUCCGGACCGUGCAUGAGGGGCUCCAGUCCGUCACCGAGACCUACAUAAGGUCGGCCAUCGACCACGUCGAGCUGAACAGGGUCGGGGUUGAUUGCGAGGGCAACACUUGCUGCAUUAGCAAGUGGAGUCGGCUCCCUUUCUACAAGAUGGAUUUCGGGUUCGGGAGGCCCUUCCAAGUGGCGCCGGCAACCGUCCCCAACAACGUCAUCUUGGUUGCUUCCCAGAGCAGGGAGAGCGACAACUUGGUCGUGUCUCUGGGGCUUCCUCGUGACGCCAUGGAUGUUUUCUCGAAGCUGAUUCAGUAUGAGCUCACGCUGAAAAGCAAAUUUUAGCCUCAUCUAUGGAUAUGAAUGUACGUGUAUGUUUGAAGUCUCGUAUUUCUGCCUCUAGUUUUAAGCUAUUUUUCUUGGUGAAAUAAUGGAUUUGUUAUGUGCCAAGGCCAACUCCUUCGAGACUUUGGCAAAUCCCAUUCUUUAGGCACCAUCUGCAUAUCUUUAGCAUUAGGAAGAGUACUUAUGUGUUGUCCAUUUUUCGUGUUGUGCAUUCUAGGGCCGAGAAUAAUGGACCGAUCAAAUUG